ensembl:snRNA U2 U2 spliceosomal RNA
AUUGCUUCUCGGCCUUUUGGCUAAGAUCAAGUGUAGUACCAUUUGGUUCAUUUAAAUCUAUUCUGUGAUAAUGCCACAUCGAUGAAAUAGCUUAAUGAUCCAUU